AUCAUGUCUCAAGCCUUUUGGCUAAGAUCAAGUGUAGUAUCUGUUCUUGUCAGUUUAACAUCUGAUAUGUCUUCUAUCUGAGGACAAUAUAGUAGAUGGAUUUUUGGAGCAGGGAAAUAGAACAGGAGCUUUCUGUGUCCAUGCUGUGCAUUCACAUGGUAUUGCAGUACCUCUGGGAAUGGUGUACGGCCU